UCGACAUCAACAAAAGGUUGCAUCGUUCACUUUAUAAAUUGCAGGUCAUAGACAAGGUCGCCAACCCCACCAUAUCCUGUGAGAUGAACGAUGGAGGCAGCUCUAACAUAUCUGGAAAUCUGGUGUGCUCUGCAGAGCCCAGACGACCUCAGUCCUUAAUAAAGUUUGAGUGGACAACACGUGGAAUUAUUCAGCCUGGCCCAAACUUACAAAUAUCUCUGGGGGAUCAACAUGAUGAUGAAGAGUACAGUUGUAAUGUGAGCAACCCUCUGAGUAGUGAAACAGCUACAUUCACUGCAAAUGAUUGCUACCCAGACAAAAGUUCAUCAGUACCGCUGAUUGCCAUCGGAGUCAUUGCACUUACUGUGUUACUCCUCGUUGGCCUGGCC